rnacentral:ncRNA from 1 species
CACCGCCCAUCGUUACUACCGAUUAAAUGGUUUAGUAAAGCCGUUGGAUUUGUGUCGUUAUAGUGGCAUUGCCGCUCGACUGAUGCUGAGAAGAUGGCCUAAUUUGACUAUUUAGAGAAAGUAAAAGUUGUAACAAGGUUUUCGUAGGUGAACAAGUAGAAG